AUUGAACGCUGGCGGCAUGCCUUACACAUGCAAGUCGAACGGCAGCACGGAGCUUGCUCUGGUGGCGAGUGGCGAACGGGUGAGUAAUAUAUCGGAACGUACCCUAGAGUGGGGGAUAACGUAGCGAAAGUUACGCUAAUACCGCAUACGAUCUAAGGAUGAAAGUGGGGGAUCGCAAGACCUCAUGCUCGUGGAGCGGCCGAUAUCUGAUUAGCUAGUUGGUAGGGUAAAAGCCUACCAAGGCAUCGAUCAGUAGCUGGUCUGAGAGGACGACCAGCCACACUGGAACUGAGACACGGUCCAGACUCCUACGGGAGGCAGCAGUGGGGAAUUUUGGACAAUGGGCGAAAGCCUGAUCCAGCAAUGCCGCGUGAGUGAAGAAGGCCUUCGGGUUGUAAAGCUCUUUUGUCAGGGAAGAAACGGUGAAAGCUAAUAUCUUUUGCUAAUGACGGUACCUGAAGAAUAAGCACCGGCUAACUACGUGCCAGCAGCCGCGGUAAUACGUAGGGUGCAAGCGUUAAUCGGAAUUACUGGGCGUAAAGCGUGCGCAGGCGGUUUUGUAAGUCUGAUGUGAAAUCCCCGGGCUCAACCUGGGAAUUGCAUUGGAGACUGCAAGGCUAGAAUCUGGCAGAGGGGGGUAGAAUUCCACGUGUAGCAGUGAAAUGCGUAGAUAUGUGGAGGAACACCGAUGGCGAAGGCAGCCCCCUGGGUCAAGAUUGACGCUCAUGCACGAAAGCGUGGGGAGCAAACAGGAUUAGAUACCCUGGUAGUCCACGCCCUAAACGAUGUCUACUAGUUGUCGGGUCUUAAUUGACUUGGUAACGCAGCUAACGCGUGAAGUAGACCGCCUGGGGAGUACGGUCGCAAGAUUAAAGCUCAAAGGAAUUGACGGGGACCCGCACAAGCGGUGGAUGAUGUGGAUUAAUUCGAUGCAACGCGAAAAACCUUACCUACCCUUGACAUGGCUGGAAUCCUUGAGAGAUCAGGGAGUGCUCGAAAGAGAACCAGUACACAGGUGCUGCAUGGCUGUCGUCAGCUCGUGUCGUGAGAUGUUGGGUUAAGUCCCGCAACGAGCGCAACCCUUGUCAUUAGUUGCUACGAAAGGGCACUCUAAUGAGACUGCCGGUGACAAACCGGAGGAAGGUGGGGAUGACGUCAAGUCCUCAUGGCCCUUAUGGGUAGGGCUUCACACGUCAUACAAUGGUACAUAUAGAGCGCCGCCAACCCGCGAGGGGGAGCUAAUCGCAGAAAGUGUAUCGUAGUCCGGAUUGUAGUCUGCAACUCGACUGCAUGAAGUUGGAAUCGCUAGUAAUCGCGGAUCAGCAUGUCGCGGUGAAUACGUUCCCGGGUCU
rnacentral:rRNA from 1 species